UACGGGGGGAGCAAGCGUUGUUCGGAUUUACUGGGCGUAAAGGGCGCGUAGGCGGCCAGCGCAAGUCAGUUGUGAAAUCUCCGGGCUUAACUCGGAAAGGUCAACCGAUACUGUGCGGCUAGAGUGCGGAAGGGGCAACUGGAAUUCUCGGUGUAGCGGUGAAAUGCGCAGAUAUCAGGAAGAACACCCGUGGCGAAGGCGGCUCUCUGGGACGGUACUGACGCUGAGACGCGAAAGCGUGGGGAGCGAACAGG
rnacentral:rRNA from 1 species